AGUUCAACAUCUCAGUUCUCCAGACUCCAGCACUGCAGUCGGUUCCUCCAGGAGAAGCAGUGAAUCUUCAGUGUACGGUUCUCUCUGAGAUCAGAUCAGCAGAACUGAGAGUGUUCUGGAUCAGAUCUGCUGCAGGAUCAUCCUUUCCUGAAAUCAUCUUCACUCAUCACAACAGCAGCAGCAGCAGCAGCAGCAGCCGUCAGUGUGAGAUCAGCUCUUCUAAACACAGCAGUGUGUACAACUUCUCCCCCAACAUCCCCAACAACCACCAUGCUGCAACUUACUACUGCGCUGUGGAGACCUGUGGGAGGAUCAUCAUCGGGAAUGGAACAGCUGUGGCCACGGGUAAUAAAUCUCACCAGGAUCUCACAAUCGCAGAGGGAUUACAAUUCCAGGAACCUGGUGAUGAUGUAGAGCUGAAUUAUGCUGCUUUGAACUUCGCUGAGAAAAAAUCUAAAAGAAAAAGGAAGAAGAAAAGCGGACGUCCUCAGAAUAGUGUAUACUCUGAAGUGAGAUACACCAGUCAGACAUGAAUCCACACUCACUGUGUUUAGAAAUAAUGGAGCUGAUGUGAUUGGUUACUGAACCAGCAAAUCAUUAUCACAUUUAUUUAAUCAAUAAGCUGAAUCUUUUAAUUAAUACUAUAUUUUCAGGUAACAUUUUUCAAUAAUGGUCCAUCUAUAAACAGUACUUACAACAGAACGUCUCAAUUAACUAUUAAUUGACACUAUUAUUAAUCAUUACAACAUUUUGAACUAAUGCUUUAUUUUAUUAUUACUUAGAGUAUUUUUAAGAAUAAACAUUUAAUAAUGUAUCAACUAAAGUUAAAAUAAUAAUUACUUAAAAAAAUACUUAACCAUUUAACAAAGUUUUUUACUGUACUAAGUACUGUUAUUUGUAACACUUAUUGUAAGGUGUUAAAUAACCCCUAUUGAGAGAAAUUGGGUAUUUAUUCUUGUGCAUAAUUAGGUGCUUAAUUUAUUCUUAUAUUUCACCAUUUACUAAAACAUCUAACUAACGAUAGUUAAA